AGAUGUGAAGGUAAAUAGAUCUGUUAACCUAUGCUUUACCAGGGUUAUUUUGGUUAAUAUAGCUAAUAAGGUGGUAUUCCCUUCCCUCCAUCACCAGUCCAUGUGUAACUUUCUGGAAGCUGCACCCUCAGCAGAUGAAACUAUUUUAUCCUGGUCAAGGAUAUAUGAGUGGCUGUGCUCCCUGGCUGGAACCUCCAAACUGGCUGUCAUGAUGGGCACAUGUUUUUUCAUUCUGUUUAUUUCCAUGUCUAGUCACUGUAUAACAGCAUCUUUACCCU
ensembl:misc_RNA 7SK 7SK RNA